rnacentral:lncRNA from 1 species
CUGAAGGAAGGAACCAGCAGCAGUGUGCUCUGUCUUUGAGGCAUUAAUCAGACCUCAGGCCUCAGAAAGAAGUGCCAGCAGAUUUACUUCCCUCUGUCAUAACCAGGCCAGGACUUUUUUGAUGAUCAUUGCAAGAUAAUGUCUGUAUUCUUCACUUAAAGUGGACUGAGUAGGUA